UAAAUUUAAUUAUCUCAUUUGCUAACUUUGUUUUUGUUCUUUUUCUUUUUGUUUAAUUUCAUACAUUUCUUUUAAUAUUGCCAGCUCUUUUUCUAGUUCUAUUAUUUUAGUAUUUUUUACUUCUUCUAAUUGUUGUACUUCCUUUUUUGCUUGUUGUUUUAUUUUUUCAAUUUCCGUUUUUCUAUCUAUUUCCUCAUUUUCUUUUAUUAUUCUUAUCAUAGCAGUUAAACUAUCUUCUAAUUUUACUGUUUCUUUUUCUAACAUUAAAUUUCGAUUAUCACCUAUUUUCUUAUAUCUUCUUCCUAGAUUAGAA
rnacentral:lncRNA from 1 species